UACGAAGGGGGCUAGCGUUGCUCGGAAUCACUGGGCGUAAAGGGCGCGUAGGCGGCGUUUUAAGUCGGGGGUGAAAGCCUGUGGCUCAACCACAGAAUGGCCUUCGAUACUGGGACGCUUGAGUAUGGUAGAGGUUGGUGGAACUGCGAGUGUAGAGGUGAAAUUCGUAGAUAUUCGCAAGAACACCGGUGGCGAAGGCGGCGACCUGGUCCGUGACUGACGCUGAGGCGCGAAAGCGUGGGGAGCAAACAGG
rnacentral:rRNA from 1 species